rnacentral:tRNA from 1 species
GCGCUCGUAGCUCAGCAGGAUAGAGCAACGGCCUUCUAAGCCGUAGGUCGCAGGUUCGAAUCCUGCCGGGCGUACCA